CCUACGGGAGGCAGCAGUAGGGAAUAUUGGUCAAUGGGCGAGAGCCUGAACCAGCCAUGCCGCGUGCAGGAAGAAGGCCCUCUGGGUUGUAAACUGCUUUUGACAGGGGCCAAAAUACUCAUGCGUGAGGAAUUGAGAGUACCUGUAGAAUAAGCACCGGCUAACUCCGUGCCAGCAGCCGCGGUAAUACGGAGGGUGCAAGCGUUGUCCGGAUUUAUUGGGUUUAAAGGGUGCGUAGGUGGCCUUAUAAGUCAGUGGUGAAAGCCUGCAGCUUAACUGUAGGACUGCCAUUGAUACUGUAGGGCUUGAGUACUGAUGAGGUAGGCGGAAUUGAUAGUGUAGCGGUGAAAUGCAUAGAUAUUAUCAAGAACACCGAUUGCGAAGGCAGCUUACUAAGGAGUUACUGACACUGAGGCACGAAAGCGUGGGGAUCAAACAGGAUUAGAUACCCUGGUAGUCCACGCCAUAAACGAUGAUUACUCGAUGUAUGCGAUAGAUAGUAUGCGUCCAAGCGAAAGCGUUAAGUAAUCCACCUGGGGAGUACGACCGCAAGGUUGAAACUUAAAUGAAUUGACGG
rnacentral:rRNA from 1 species